AGUCGCUAAUCUUACGUAAACCUAAACCACAAAAGGACGAAUAGUUCGUCAAGCUUGUUAGAGAUUUGAUCUCGACGGCACUAGCAUCCCAUAUCGAUCCAGUUUGUGUGCGUGUGGAUACCGGUAGAGGCACGACGUUUGGAGUGCUUGAAAUUUCGACUUGGUUUAUUUAUCUUUCCGAUGCGAUUAAUCAGGUAUAUCGAAAACCGUAAGAUCUAGAUUUAUUUCAUUAUUUACAUGAGAUCUAGGCAAACCGAAUUCAUAGAUUGAUUUAUAAAUAGUUAUACACCUGCGUGAAUUCCAACAGCCACCAUCUUCGCCACAUCUUCUCAAGUAAACCCUACUUCAAGGUACUCAUUCUUGGGGACUAGCGUUCGCUCCACACUCGACACGAGCAAGACCGUGUUCCGCCAUGUAAUCAUGUCGCGUCCGACGAACCCUUGCGUUUUGAGAA
rnacentral:lncRNA from 1 species